UACAGAGGGUGCAAGCGUUGCUCGGAAUCAUUGGGCGUAAAGGGUAGGUAGGUGGUCUCAUUUGUCCGGGGUGAAAUCCUUGAGCUUAACUCAAGAAGUGCCCUGGAAACGGUGAGACUGGAGUCCUGGAGAGGGUCGUGGAAUUCCCGGUGUAGCGGUGAAAUGCGUAGAGAUCGGGGGGAACACCAGAGGCGAAGGCGGGCGACCUGGACAGGUACUGACACUGAACUACGAAAGCGUGGGGAGCAAACAGG
rnacentral:rRNA from 1 species